AGUGAACGCUGGCGGUAGGCCUAACACAUGCAAGUCGAACGGCAGCACAGUAAGAGCUUGCUCUUACGGGUGGCGAGUGGCGGACGGGUGAGGAAUACAUCGGAAUCUACUUUUUCGUGGGGGAUAACGUAGGGAAACUUACGCUAAUACCGCAUACGACCUACGGGUGAAAGCAGGGGAUCUUCGGACCUUGCGCGAUUGAAUGAGCCGCUGUCGGAUUAGCUAGUUGGCGGGGUAAAGGCCCACCAAGGCGACGAUCCGUAGCUGGUCUGAGAGGAUGAUCGGCCACACUGGAGCUGAGGCACGGUCCAGACUACUACGGGAGGCAGCAGUGGGGAAUAUUGGACAAUGGGCGCAAGCCUGAUCCAGCCAUACCGCGUGGGUGAAGAAGGCCUUCGGGUUGUAAAGCCCUUUUGUUGGGAAAGAAAAGCAGCAGGUUAAGACCCCGCUGUUCUGACGGUACCCAAAGAAUAAGCACCGGCUAACUUCGUG
rnacentral:rRNA from 1 species